AAGGGCAAAAUCUCAUUUUUAUACAAUUUCUCUUAGCAGCUGCUCAAGUGCAAGCUUCUGAGUUUCCGUUUCUUCUAAACUGUCUAUAGCAGCAAGGAAAAGCGCUUUAAGAUGAAUUUGACAGGCCAGGCGCGGUGGCUCACAUCUGUAAUCCCAGCACUUUGGGAGGCCGAGGUGGGUGGAUCAGGAGGUCAGGAGUUCGAGAACGUCCUGGUUAACACGGUGAGACCCCGUCUCUACUAAAAAUACAAAAAUUAGCCGGGCGUGGUGGAAGGCGCCUCUAGUCCCAGCUACUUGGAAGGCUGAGGCAGGAGAGUCGCUUGAGCCCAGGAGGCAGAGGUUGCAGUGAGCCGACAUUGCGCCAUUGCACUCCAGCCUGGGGACAAGAGCAAGACUUCGUCUCAAAAAAAGAAAAGAUGAGUUUGAUAGCUUUGUCCUAAUACAUACUUAUGUCUGGAUCCAAAGGGGACAGUGUCUCUAGCUCAGGGGGCGAUGGAUGGGCCUUCCUGCAGAGUGGAUGUUUAUUGAUUACUAAAGCAUCUAUUUGAGUUAAUCACUAUCAUUUUCAUCAUAGUCUCAUUGGUGUUUGAGCAGUGUAAGAAUAUCAGCUCAGCUUUGAGCUGGAUUUCACCCUGUAUUAGUUCAUUCUCACAUUGCUAUAAAUAACUACCUGAGACUGGAUAAUUUAUAAAGAAAAGAGGUUUGGCCUGGCGUGGUGGCUCAUGCCUGUAAUCCUGAGAGGUGAAGCCAGCUGGACUUCUGGGUCGGACUUGGAGAGCUUUUCUGUCUUACAAGAGGAUUGUAAAAUGCACCAAUCAGUGCUCUGUAAAGACACACCAAUCGGCACUCCGUGGCUAGCUAGAGGUUUGUAAAAUGGACCAAUCAGCACUCUGUAAAAUGGACCAAUCAGCACUCUGUAAAGUGGACCAACCAGCAGGACAUGGGCGGGGACAAAUAAGGGAAUAAAAGCUGGCCACCCCAACCAGCAGCAGCCCCUGGCUUGGGUCCUCGUCUAAGCUGUGGACGCUUUGUUCUUUCGCUCUUCACAAUAAAUCUUGCUCACUCUUUGGGUCCGUGCCGCCUUUAAGAGCUGUAACACUCACCGCGGAGGUCCGCGGCCCCGUUCUUGAAGUCAGCGAGACCACGAACCCACCAGAAGGAACCAACUCCAGACACAAUCCCAGCACUUUGGGAAGUCAGGGCAGGCGGAUCAGGAGGUCAGAAGAUCGAGACCAUCCUGGCCAACAUGGUGAAACCCCAUCUCUACUGAAAAUAUAAAAAUUAGCUGGAUGUGGUGGCGCAUGCCUGUAAUCCCAGCUACUGGGGAGGCUGAGGCAGGAGAAUCCCUUAAACCGGGGAGUUGGAUGUUGCAGUGAGCUGAGAUUGCGCCACAGCUCUCUAGCCUGGCGACAGAGUGAGCCUCCAUCUCAAAACAACAACAACAACAAAAACCAAAAGAAAUGAGGUUUAAUUGACUCACAGUUCCACAGGUUGUACAAGAGGUGUGACUGGGGAGGCCUCAGGAAGCUUACAAUCAUGGUGGAAGGAUGAAGGGGAAGCAAGCACGUCUUCACAUGGCAGUAGGCGGGAGAGUGAGUGAAGGGAGAAGUGCUACACACUUUCAAACAACCAGAUCUCAUGAAAACUCACUAUCACAAGAACAGCAAAAGGGAAAUCCACCCAUGAUCUAAUCAUCUCCCACCAGCUCCCUCUCGCAACAUUGGGAAUUACAGUUCAACAUGCGAUUUGGUGGGGACACAGAGCCAAACCAUAUCACACCCCAUUCAAAGCUAUGAGAUUAUAAAAUGGUCCUUCUCCUGUCACUCAGCUGACUGUAAAUUCAUGCUGGCACAUCCACACCACGGCAGACAGAAGACACUGCUUGGGAGUUCUGUUCUGUCAUCAACGGAGCUGUGAUGACCGUGGAUGUCACUGGUAGUGGCCAACAUUUCUGCAGCUCCUUCUCAGUUACAUCCUCAACACAAACUCCUCACCAGGUAUGAUGGUUUUCAGGAUCUGAUCCCUGUCCCAUCUCUGUUCUCAUUUCUUCACGUGCCCACACCUUCAUAGUAAUGUCUCCAGCUUCCUAAUGACUCUAAGUUUUCUGAGCACAUUAUAGUUUUCUUUAUUUCUGGCCUUACCUUUUAUUUUCCUCAACUGCUAGGAUGUUCUUCACUGUCCCACAUUGCCUGGUGAACUAUUUCUCAGAGCCCGG
rnacentral:lncRNA from 1 species